rnacentral:rRNA from 1 species
GUGAGGAAUUUUCCGCAAUGGGCGAAAGCCUGACGGAGCAAUGCCGCGUGAAGGAUGAAGGCCUAUGGGUUGUAAACUUCUUUUCUCAGAAAAGAAUUAUGACGGUAUCUUAGGAAUAAGCAUCGGCUAACUCUGUGCCAGCAGCCGCGGUAAGACAGAGGAUGCAAGCGUUAUCCGGAAUGAUUGGGCGUAAAGCGUCUGUAGGUUGUUUAAAAAGUAUUCUGUCAAAGAAUAGGGCUUAACCCUAGAUAGGCAGAAUAAACUUUUAAGCUAGAGUUUGGUAGAGGAAGAGGGAAUUACCGGAGGAGCGGUGAAAUGCGUAGAUAUCGAGAGAAACACCAAAGGCGAAGGCACUCUGCUGGGCCAAUACUAACACUGAGAGACGAAAGCGAGGGGAGCAAAUGGGAUUAGAUACCCCAGUAGUCC